GAUCAGUCUCUCUAUGUUCUCUGUGCUUUGAGCUUCUUUACAGUGUUGCCUUGUAGCAUGGAGAUCAAGCAGCAUUGUACAGGGCUAUCAAAGUGCAGGGACAGGCAUCUUGGACUCUGC
rnacentral:pre_miRNA from 17 species